AUGCAGCGUCUCAGAGCUGCACUUCAUGUCGAGACCUAUUCGGUGAAAUCUUGGUGGGAUGCGGUUCUUUCUGAUAAUACACUCCCGACGAAGGCCCUAUCUUCUCUGUUACUUCUUGUGGGAUGGCAGAUAUGGAAUGAAAGGAAUGCUCGUGUAUUCAGGAGCAAAGUGGCGCCGGUGGCGAUUGUCAUGCGAGGCAUCAAAGAGGAAGUUUCGAUUUGGGCCAAUGCAGGUGCUAAGCAUUUGCGUAAUGUAAUGCCGCGAGAGUAA
rnacentral:rRNA from 1 species